UUGCAUAAGUUGAGAGUUGAGACCAUCAAUAAUGGACGACUAACUUAGACUCCUCUAUCUUCUUUUGUGUAGUAAAAUUAGUUUGUGAUGAUGAAACCACUUAUUGUACAAUAUAUAACUGAAUGUUCUUUACUUAUUUUUUCCCCUGACUUUAUUUAUUUUUAUUCAUGUAUCUCAUUUGUUUUUAUGCAUGCAUAUAUUUUGUGCUUCAGUUCUUGCGCUUUACAGGUUUUGGUGGGGAGGAUUUUGGAAGGUAAUGUUCUAUCUCUUCUGUUUAUAUAAUCAUUGCACUUGGUCACUUUCAAUAUUUACAUGUUUCAUUAUGUUUUUAACACACGACCCUCUCUUGCAAUAACAUAACUAAUUUGACAUACCAUUGGAGCCUCUGAUCUAGCUCUAACAGAGACUAUGGCUUUUCUCAUAGUAGCUUCAGCUUAAUCAACAUUUCUUGGAGCCGAGGGACUAUUCUCUCUACUAUUCUUUUCUUGAUCAUAACUGUUUCCAUUCUUCUUCUCUGGAGACUCGGACUUCUCCGACAAAGAAAGCGAAGCCUCCUCUCCGAUCUCAGCACCGUUUGUGGCCAAUCGAAGAUCCAUGAACUGUCUUGGCACUGCGUCUUGCUUCUUCUCCUCCUCCUCCUCCUCUGGCUUGUGUUGUUGCAUCAAAGCCACCACCUUGCAUCUGCAGGGCCUUGUAUUCCGCGGUUACACAAUCUAGCCUCUCUCUCCAUUGAUUCUCCACCUUCAUUCGCUCCAACUCUACCAGAAUACAACUGUCUGAUCAUGGAUGGGUCUUUUUUCGUGUGAAUUUGGUGAGAUGUUGUUGUCAACAACGAAUUGAUCGCUGCUCGUGUUGGUAGUAAGAAGAUUCAGACCAGUCUGAAAUAAUGAAUGAAAAUUGAGAAACUUCGGAUACGUAAUUUAGAAGUAAAGACAUGGUAUUGGUUGGGAAUGCUUGCAACAACCACCUUUCAUGUCAUGGCAAUGUGUCUUAGGAUCUGUCACUAGGAUUGGUUUAUAGCCUAAUUUGUUGUAACAUAGUUAUAAGGUUGUAGCAUUUUUUAUUGUUUAGAUUUGUAACAUGAGUUAUUACUUUACAAGAGAAACUUGUGUAUCGAUAUUUUGAGUUUAAUGAAAUAUCUCAUUUUAUAGUAA